AUGGUCCUACGGGGGGCAGCAGUGAGGAAUAUUGGUCAAUGGGCGGGAGCCUGAAUCAGCCGCGUCGCGUGAAGGAAGAAGGUACUUAGUAUUGUAAACUUCUUUUGUCGGGGAACAAAGGCGGAGACGCGUCUCCGGAUGAGUGUACCCGAAGAAAAAGCAUCGGCUAACUCCGUGCCAGCAGCCGCGGUAAUACGGAGGAUGCGAGCGUUAUCCGGAUUUAUUGGGUUUAAAGGGUGCGCAGGCGGGAGAUCAAGUCAACGGUAAAAUGUCCGGGCUCAACCCGGGCCGGCCGUUGAAACUGG
rnacentral:rRNA from 1 species